rnacentral:rRNA from 1 species
UUAGAUACCCUGGUAGUCCACGCCGUAAACGAUGGAUACUAGCUGUCCGGCUCACAUUGGUGAGUUGGGUGGCCAAGCGAAAGUGAUAAGUAUCCCACCUGGGGAGUACGUUCGCAAGAAUGAAACUCAAAGGAAUUGACGGGGGCCCGCACAAGCGGUGGAGCAUGUGGUUUAAUUCGAUGAUACGCGAGGAACCUUACCAGGGCUUAAAUGUAGUCUGACAGGAUUGGAAACAGUCUUUUCUUCGGACAGAUUACAAGGUGCUGCAUGGUUGUCGUCAGCUCGUGCCGUGAGGUGUCAGGUUAAGUCCUAUAACGAGCGCGACCCCUGUUGUUAGUUGCCAGCGAGUCAAGUCGGGAACUCUAACAAGACUGCCGGUGCAAACCGUGAGGAAGGUGGGGAUGACGUCAAAUCAUCACGGCCCUUACGUCCUGGGCCACACACGUGCUACAAUGGCAGGUACAAUGGGCAGCCACUACGCAAGUAGGAGCGAAUCCACAAAACCUGUCUCAGUUCGGACCGGGGUCUGCAACUCGACCCCGUGAAGCUGGAAUCGCUAGUAAUCGGAUAUCAGCCAUGAUCCGGUGAAUACGUUCCCGGGCCUUGUACACACCGCCCGUCA